rnacentral:misc_RNA from 1 species
CCAAACUUGGUCAUUUAGAGGAAGUAAAAGUCGUAACAAGGUUUCCGUAGGUGAACCUGCGGAAGGAUCAUUAUCGAAACGGGAAAGCCUAGGAGGGGAGACCCUCCGAAGCUUUCGACCUCCUCAACACCCGUGUGCACCCACUGUAGGACCUUCGGGGCCUAUGUCUCAUCUCUUCCACUCGCAUGUCUACAGAAUGUAUGCGUCGCCUCGGCGAUGGCAAAGCUCAUACAACUUUCAGCAAUGGAUCUCUUGGCUCUCGCAUCGAUAACGCAGC